ACAAAAACGUUAUAGUUUAGUAUGUGGUCCAAAAUAUGACAAAAAUGUCAUUGUUUAGUCUCUGGUCCAAAAUAUGACAAAAACGUCAUAGUUUAGUAUGUUGCCCAAAAUAUGACAAAAAUGUCAUAGUUCACUAUGUCGUCCAAAAUGUGACAAAAACGUCAUAGUUUAGUAUGUCGUCAGAAAAUUGGAAAAAAACGGCAUAGUUUAGUAUGUUGUGUGAAAAUGGACAUAAAAAACGUCAUCCUUUGUUCAAAAUUGGACAAAAACGUCAUGGUUUAGUAUGUCAUCCAACGUGUGACAAAAACGUCAUACGUUAGUAUGUUGUCCAAAAUGUGACAAAAACGUCAUAGUUUAGUAUGUCGUCCAAAAUGUGACAAAAACGUCAUAGGUUAGUAUGUCGUCCAAACUGUGAAAAGAAACGUCAUAGGUUAGUAUGUCGUCCAAACUAUGAAAAAAAACGUCAUAGGUUAGUAUGUCAUCUAAAAUGUUGGAAAAAAGUCAUAGUUUAGUAUGUCGUCAGAAAAAUGGAGAAAAAACGUCAUAGUUCAGUAUAUUGUCCGAAAAUGGACAGAAAACGUCAUCCUUUGUUCAAAAUGUGACAAAAACGUCAUAGUUCAGUAUGUCGUCCAAAAUGUAACAAAAACGUCAUGGGUUAGUAUUUCGUUCAAAAUGUGACAAAAACGUCAUAGUUUAGUAUGUCGUCCAAAAUGUGACAAAAAAGUCAUAGUUUAGUAUGUUGUCCGAAAAUGGAGGAAAAACGUCAUAGUUCAGUAUAUUGUCCGAAAAUGGACAGAAAACGUCAUCCUUUGUUCAAAAUGUGACAAAAAAGUCAAAGUUUAAUAUGUCAUCCAACAUGUGACAAAAACGUCAU